rnacentral:lncRNA from 1 species
UCCUGAAGCAGCUGGAGGGCCUGGCUGGUGGCCUGCCUCAGCUCUCUUUUGGCAGGUCCAGGUGAAUUCUUGAGAUCGUUCACUUGGACAAUAGUGCAAACACCUGUGGGGCUGAAGUCGAACUUCCUGAUGCUCUUCUCCAGGAACUGAAUCCUCCACUUCAAGAACUUCUUGCGCUUCUCUUCAUCAGCGAAAGCGCUCUGGUACAGAUCCUUCUUCUGGAACUCCCCGUACACGUUGUAGCAGACAGGGUGGCCCUCGGUGUCGAACCCGUGCGUGAACACGACCUUG